GACGAACGCUGGCGGCGUGCCUAAUACAUGCAAGUAGAACGCUGAAGGAGGAGCUUGCUUCUCUGGAUGAGUUGCGAACGGGUGAGUAACGCGUAGGUAACCUGCCUGGUAGCGGGGGAUAACUAUUGGAAACGAUAGCUAAUACCGCAUAACAGUAGAUGUUGCAUGACAUUUGCUUAAAAGGUGCAAUUGCAUCACUACCAGAUGGACCUGCGUUGUAUUAGCUAGUUGGUGGGGUAACGGCUCACCAAGGCGACGAUACAUAGCCGACCUGAGAGGGUGAUCGGCCACACUGGGACUGAGACACGGCCCAGACUCCUACGGGAGGCAGCAGUAGGGAAUCUUCGGCAAUGGACGGAAGUCUGACCGAGCAGCGCCGCGUGAGUGAAGAAGGUUUUCGGAUCGUAAAGCUCUGUUGUAAGAGAAGAACGAGUGUGAGAGUGGAAAGUUCACACUGUGACG
rnacentral:rRNA from 1 species